rnacentral:rRNA from 1 species
AUUAGAUACCCUGGUAGUCCACGCCGUAAACGAUGAGCGCUAGGUGUCGGGGAGGAAUUCCCGGUGCCGCAGCUAACGCAAUAAGCGCUCCACCUGGGGAGUACGACCGCAAGGUUGAAACUCAAAGGAAUUGACGGGGGCCCGCACAAGCGGUGGAGCAUGUGGUUUAAUUCGAAGCAACGCGAAGAACCUUACCAAGGCUUGACAUCUCCCUGACCGGCAUAGAGAUAUGCUUUCCCUUCGGGGCGGGGAUGACAGGUGGUGCAUGGUUGUCGUCAGCUCGUGUCGUGAGAUGUUGGGUUAAGUCCCGCAACGAGCGCAACCCUUACCCUUAGUAGCCAGCAUUCAGAUGGGCACUCUAGGGGGACUGCCGUGGAUAACACGGAGGAAGGUGGGGAUGACGUCAAAUCAUCAUGCCCCUUACGUCUUGGGCUACACACGUGCUACAAUGGCUGGCAACAAAGUGAAGCGAGACGGUGACGUUAAGCAAAUCACAAAAACCCAGUCCCAGUUCGGAUUGCAGUCUGCAACUCGACUGCAUGAAGCUGGAAUCGCUAGUAAUCGCGAAUCAGCAUGUCGCGGUGAAUACGUUCCCGGGCCUUGUACACACCGCCCGUCACACCAUGGGAGUUGGAAGCACCCGAAGUCGGUGACCUGACCGUAAGGAGGAAGGGGCCGAAGGUGAAGCCAGCGACUGGGGUGAAGUCGUAACAAGG